rnacentral:rRNA from 1 species
UACGGGGGGGGCAAGCGUUGUUCGGAAUUACUGGGCGUAAAGGGCUCGUAGGCGGCCAACUAAGUCAGACGUGAAAUCCCUCGGCUUAACCGGGGAACUGCGUCUGAUACUGGAUGGCUUGAGUUUGGGAGAGGGAUGCGGAAUUCCAGGUGUAGCGGUGAAAUGCGUAGAUAUCAGGAAGAACACCGGUGGCGAAGGCGGCUCGCUGGGCCAGUUCUGACACUCAUCCGCGAAAGCGUGGGGAGCAAACAGG